AGGACGAACGCUGGCGGCGUGCUUAACACAUGCAAGUCGAGCGCGAAGGGGUCCUUCGGGACCCUGGAGAGCGGCGAACGGGUGAGUAACACGUGGGUAACCUGCCCUAAGGACUGGGAUAACUCCGGGAAACCGGGGCUAAUACCGGACGUUCUUGCACCUCGCAAGUGGUGCAAGCAAAGGUAGCUUCGGCUUCCGCCUUAGGAUGGGCCCGCGGCCUAUCAGCUUGUUGGUGAGGUAAUGGCUCACCAAGGCGACGACGGGUAGCUGGUCUGAGAGGACGAUCAGCCACACUGGGACUGAGACACGGCCCAGACUCCUACGGGAGGCAGCAGUGGGAAUCUUGCGCAAUGGGCGAAAGCCUGACGCAGCAACGCCGCGUGGAGGAAGAAGGCCGUCGGGUCGUAAACUCUGUCGAGGGAAGAAGGCACCGUGGUUAACAGCCCGAAGGCGUGACGGUAACCCCCAAAGGAACGACCGACGGACUAACCGUACGUACGCCAAGCGAGCCGAC
rnacentral:rRNA from 1 species